rnacentral:lncRNA from 1 species
AUCUUGUCAACAAAGAGAUUGGCUUUCGGGAGCUCAUGGCCAUUGAAGGGAGCGGGAGUUAAGUGACUUCGUUAUUGUUGCCACAGCAUCUUGGUGAGGUUGAGGUGGUGCCUCGCUCUGAAGAAGCCGAUUGGCGAUUCCCUGGUGACCCGUCACAUGGAAUGCCCGAAUGCUAAUGAGCUAUGAGCCCUUGUUCCAUCUUCCCAGCAGUCUCUGUUUCCAGUGUUUGCACACUUGAAAACUGAGCUAUUAGCAUGUUCUAUCCCUCCCCCCACCCUUGUUGAAUUUUGAGCUAUUAUUGGCUUACUUAUUCUAUUGUCC